rnacentral:rRNA from 1 species
UACGAGGGGGGCAAAUGUUGUUCGGAAUCACUGGGCGUAAAGGGAGCGUAGGCGGGUUCUUAAGUAAGGUGUUUAAUCCCGGGGCCCAACCCCGGACCGGCACUUUAAACUGGGAAUCUUGAAUAGUGGAGAGGUCGGUGGAAUUGGGGGUGUAGCGGUGGAAUGCGUAGAGAUCAUGAGGAAGACCAGUGGCGAAGGCGGGUCUCUGGACAGUUCCGUGACACUGAGACACGAAGGCCAGGGGAGCAAACGGG